UGGUGGGUAGUUUGACUGGGGCGGUCUCCUCCUAAAGAGUAACGGAGGAGCACGAAGGUUGGCUAAUCCUGGUCGGACAUCAGGAGGUUAGUGCAAUGGCAUAAGCCAGCUUGACUGCGAGCGUGACGGCGCGAGCAGGUGCGAAAGCAGGUCAUAGUGAUCCGGUGGUUCUGAAUGGAAGGGCCAUCGCUCAACGGAUAAAAGGUACUCCGGGGAUAACAGGCUGAUACCGCCCAAGAGUUCAUAUCGACGGCGGUGUUUGGCACCUCGAUGUCGGCUCAUCACAUCCUGGGGCUGAAGUAGGUCCCAAGGGUAUGGCUGUUCGCCAUUUAAAGUGGUACGCGAGCUGGGUUUAGAACGUCGUGAGACAGUUCGGUCCCUAUCUGCCGUGGGCGCUGGAGAACUGAGGGGGGCUGCUCCUAGUACGAGAGGACCGGAGUGGACGCAUCACUGGUGUUCGGGUUGUCAUGCCAAUGGCACUGCCCGGUAGCUAAAUGCGGAAGAGAUAAGUGCUGAAAGCAUCUAAGCACGAAACUUGCCCCGAGAUGAGUUCUCCCUGACUCCUUGAGAGUCCUGAAGGAACGUUGAAGACGACGACG
rnacentral:rRNA from 1 species